ensembl:lncRNA
GGGUGAGCGCGUCCAGGGAGCUCUAGACAGGGGUCCGGGACCACACCAUCCUGCGCCACCCAGGCCUCAGGGACCCCCACCCUGUGCCAGGACCCUGGAGACCUGUGUCCCUGGUGAUGGGCAUGGUGAGUCAGUACCCCCAUGGCGUGGCUGCUGGUGGGUGGGCUGGCUGCCUCUGGUGUGUGCUGAUCAAGCCUCUCCUGACCUCCCCAAACCCCAGCUCCCUACCUUGCAGCAUCCUAGCACCUUUGGGGGUCACCCUGCUCCCCAGUUGUCUUCCAAGCAGCCCUUGAUGUGCUUUUCUUAACCAGCUGGGAGUCUGGGAAUGAGAAGGGACAUGGAGCUAGACAUUCUGAAGUGGCUCCACAGAGCCCGGCCCUGGGUGAGCCCAGCCUCUCAGCCCUCAGCUCCCCAGAUGUGGACUCUUCAGCAC